GUUUUAUUUCAGCUAAAACUUUAGCAGUCCCCUUGGUAAGGACAGAACAGGCCCUUGCAGCACGGGCAACACACAUAUGGUUAAGGCACUUACAUUAUGAGGUUUUCCUUUUUAUUGU